rnacentral:tRNA from 1 species
UCCCUGGCAGUUCAGUGGUUAGGAUUUCACACUUUCGCUGCUAAGGGCCCAGGUUCAAUCCCUGGUUGGGGAA